UACGUAGGGGGCUAGCGUUGUCCGGAAUCAUUGGGCGUAAAGAGCGUGUAGGCGGCCCGGUAAGUCCGCUGUGAAAGUCGGGGGCUCAACCCUCGAAUGCCGGUGGAUACUGUCGGGCUAGAGUGCGGAAGAGGCGAGUGGAAUUCCUGGUGUAGCGGUGAAAUGCGCAGAUAUCAGGAAGAACACCCGUGGCGAAGGCGGCUCUCGUGGGACGGUACUGACGCUGAGACGCGAAAGCGUGGGGAGCGAACAGG
rnacentral:rRNA from 1 species